rnacentral:rRNA from 1 species
UAAAAACCCCGACUUCGGAAGGGGUGUAUUUAUUAGAUACAAAACCAAUGCCCUUCGGGGCUCUUUGGUGAUUCAUGAUAACUAUACGAAUCGCACGGCCUUGCGCCGGCGAUGGUUCAUUCAAAUUUCUUCCCUAUCAACUUUCGAUGUUUGGGUAUUGGCCAAACAUGGUUGCAACGGGUAACGGAGGGUUAGGGCUCGACCCCGGAGAAGGAGCCUGAGAAACGGCUACUACAUCCAAGGAAGGCAGCAGGCGCGCAAAUUACCCAAUCCCGACUCGGGGAGGUAGUGACAAUAAAUACUGAUACAGGGCCCUUUCGGGCCUUGUAAUUGGAAUGAGUACAAUUUAAAUCCCUUAACUAGGAACAAUUGGAGGGCAAGUCUGGUGCCAGCAGCCGCGGUAAUUCCAGCUCCAAUAGCGUAUAUUAAAGUUGUUGUGGGGGUUAAAACUCUUAGUUUAAAACCCUGGGCCUGGCUGGCCGGUCCGCGUCCAAAACGUGCGCCGGUCCUCCCGGUCUUUUCCAUCUAAGAGAACCCUAAACGGGGGCGGGGGGGGGGGGGGGGGCGGCAGGGGUG